rnacentral:rRNA from 1 species
UUGGAGGGCAAGUCUGGUGCCAGCAGCCGCGGUAAUUCCAGCUCCAAUAGCGUAUAUUAAAGUUGUUGCAGUUAAAAAGCUCGUAGUUGAAUUUCGGGAUCAAUAUUUCGGUCAUGCCGUUGGUAUGCACUGUUAUCAUUGAUUUCUCACCUUCUAAGGAACCGUAAUGCCAUUAAUUUGGUGUUACGGGGAAUUAGGACUGUUACCUUGAAAAAAUUAGAGUGUUUAAAGCAGGCUCACGCUUGAAUACAUUAGCAUGGAAUAAUGAAAUAGGACAUCCGAUUCUAUUUUGUUGGUUUCUAGGAUCGAUGUAAUGAUUAAUAGGGAUAGUUGGGGGCAUUAGUAUUCAAUUGUCAGAGGUGAAAUUCUUGGAUUUAUUGAAGACUAACUACUGCGAAAGCAUUUGCCAAGGAUGUUUUCAUUAAUCAAGAACGAAAGUUAGGGGAUCGAAGACGAUCAGAUACCGUCGUAGUCUUAACCAUAAACUAUGCCGACUAGGGAUCGGAUGAUGUUAAUUUUUUAAUGACUCAUUCGGCGCCUUACGGGAAAC